GACGAACGCUGGCGGCGUGCUUAACACAUGCAAGUCGAACGGAAAGGCCCUGCUUUUGUGGGGUGCUCGAGUGGCGAACGGGUGAGUAACACGUGAGUAACCUGCCCUUGACUUUGGGAUAACUUCAGGAAACUGGGGCUAAUACCGGAUAGGAGCUCCUGCUGCAUGGUGGGGGUUGGAAAGUUUCGGCGGUUGGGGAUGGACUCGCGGCUUAUCAGCUUGUUGGUGGGGUCGUGGCUUACCAAGGCUUUGACGGGUAGCCGGCCUGAGAGGGGGACCGGCCACAGUGGGACAGAAAGACCGGCCAGACUCCUACGGGAGGCAGCAAUGGGGAAAAUUGCACAAUGGGCGGAAGCCUGAAGCAAGAAAGCCGGGAGCGGGGAGAAGGCCUUCGGGUUGUAAACCGCUUUCGCCUGUGACGAAGCGUGAGUGACGGUAAUGGGUAAAGAAGCACCGGCUAGCUACGUG
rnacentral:rRNA from 1 species